rnacentral:rRNA from 1 species
GAUGAACGCUGGCGGCGUGCUUAACACAUGCAAGUCGAACGGAGUUUAUGUAGAAUGAGUCUUCGGGCAAGUGAAAUAUAAACUUAGUGGCGGACGGGUGAGUAACGUGUGGGUAACCUACCCUAUACAGGAGGAUAACAGUAAGAAAUUAUUGCUAAAACUGCAUAAGAUUACGAGUUCGCAUGAACAAGUGAUAAAAACUUUAGUGGUAUAGGAUGGGCCCGCAUCUGAUUAGGUAGUUGGUGGAGUAAAAGCCUACCAAGCCGACGAUCAGUAGCCGAUCUGAGAGGAUGACCGGCCACAUUGGGACUGAGACACGGCCCAAACUCCUACGGGAGGCAGCAGUGGGGAAUAUUGGACAAUGGGGGAAACCCUGAUCCAGCGACGCCGCGUGAGUGAAGAAGUAUUUCGGUAUGUAAAGCUCUAUCAGCAGGGAAGAAAAUGACGGUACCUGACUAAGAAGCCCCGGCUAACUACGUGCCAGCAGCCGCGGUAAUACGUAGGGGGCAAGCGUUAUCCGGAUUUACUGGGUGUAAAGGGAGCGUAGACGGCGAUGUAAGUCUGAAGUGAAAGCCCACGGCUCAACUGUGGGACUGCUUUGGAAACUAUGUAGCUAGAGUAUCGGAGGGGCAAGCGGAAUUCCUAGUGUAGCGGUGAAAUGCGUAGAUAUUAGGAGGAACACCGGAGGCGAAGGCGGCUUGCUGGACGAAGACUGACGUUGAGGCUCGAAGGCGUGGGGAGCAAACAGG